rnacentral:lncRNA from 1 species
CUCUAAAGUGUUGCAUAAGGCAAAGAUAACGUUAAGUCUGUGGAGGCUUCCGUUAUCGGGAAAAGAUGCUGUAGUGAUCUUUUCUGAGUGUCUCCUACUUGCGACAAGGUGGACUUGGGAGGAAAGCCGUCUGCCAAAGCCUGAAGCCUCCAAGUUCUGUAGUUCAGGAACCUUGUCUGUUGUAGCAGGGAUAAAACCCACAAGAACAUGGAUACAGAACAGUUUUGGAAUGAACAUUGCCAGUGCUACAAUUGCACUAGUGGGGACUGCUUUUCUCUCACUAAAUAUAGCAGUUAAUAUCCAGUCAUUAAGGAGUUGUCACUCUUCAUCAGAGUCACCGGACCUAUGCAAUUACAUGGGCUCCAUAUCAAAUGGCAUGGUGUCUCUACUGCUGAUUCUCACCUUGCUGGAAUUAUGCGUAACCAUCUCUACCAUAGCCAUGUGGUGCAAUGCAAACUGCUGUAAUUCAAGAGAGGAAAUUUCCUCACCUCCCAAUUCUGUGUAAUCAAGAAUACCUCCUUAAUUCUGAGAGCAUGAAUAUUUGACCUUAAAUCUCCAGUGACUCAGAGCUUCACCCACAAACUCAGGAGAACAUAAGCCUGCUCGUAAAGCUCAAUCCUUCUAUCAUGGCACCAAUCACAAGAACCUUGGACGUUUGACUGACUCUAUCCUUUCUCUCCUAACUAUAAAUCCUAUUUGUGUGUCGUGGGUAUGGAAGGACAGAUAUAUUUCUUUAGGCAUUCUUGGAUAUCUGUAACUUCUAUGAUCAUUACUCCAAAGUUGUUUCCAGAAAUUGGUUCUAUUUCUUCUUAUCCACCUACUCCAUUGCUUUAUGAGGUUUAAGGAAGGAAGGCGGUAUAAUCCCUA